UACGGGGGGGGCAAGCGUUGUUCGGAAUUACUGGGCGUAAAGGGCUCGUAGGCGGCCAACUAAGUCGGAUGUGAAAUCCCCAGGCUUAACCUGGGAACUGCAUCUGAUACUGGAUGGCUUGAAUCCGGGAGAGGGAUGCAGAAUUCCAGGUGUAGCGGUGAAAUGCGUAGAUAUCAGGAGGAACACCGGCUGGCGGAAGGCGGCUUCCUGGACCGACGCUGACGCUGAGGCGCGAAAGCUAGGGGAGCAAACGGG
rnacentral:rRNA from 1 species